GGAUAUAUAAUAUUACGGUGCUUUGAUUGGAAACAAAAACAUCGUGGUAUAGUUGGUUUAAUAUUUGAAUUUGUAUCCACGUUGGAAUAAAAGGGAAAUUACGAUGUUUCGAUGUUACGAAUCGAAAAUUAGUUAUGUAAAAACGGCACAAAUAACACCGUUAAGUCGAAGAAAUAACGGACAAGAGGAGCUUCGAUGCACGACGAAUUAGAGGCAAUGAUCGCUUAACAUUGCUCGUCUCGAUCUUAUUACGAACGAUUAUCAUGUUUUUCCCUUCUAAAGAAGUCGUUGCAUAUGUUAUUCUACUUUUUCUUUUUGAUACGAUUUGAAUAAGUCGGAGACUUCCAUCCAAGGAAGUCUUCUGCCCAAUUAAGAAAAGAAUCGAAAGUAAUUAGAAUAAGAGAAAUUUUUAUGGUAACCUCAAAUUUGUUUUUACUUCACAUGUAACUGUCUUUAAACAAACAAGUCGUUGAAAGUUUCAAUAAGUUCAACUCUUCUUUUGAUAC